rnacentral:rRNA from 1 species
UACGUAGGGCGCAAGCGUUGUCCGGAAUUAUUGGGCGUAAAGAGCUCGUAGGCGUUCUGUCGCGUCCGUUGUGAAAACUCGAGGCUCAACCUCGGGCUUGCAGUGGAUACGGGCAGACUAGAGUGCGGUAGGGGAGACUGGAAUUCCUGGUGUAGCGGUGGAAUGCGCAGAUAUCAGGAGGAACACCGAUGGCGAAGGCAGGUCUCUGGGCCGCAACUGACGCUGAGGAGCGAAAGCAUGGGGAGCGAACAGG